UACGGAGGGUGCUAGCGUUGUUCGGAAUUACUGGGCGUAAAGCGUGCGCAGGCGGCUAUGCAAGACAGAUGUGAAAUCCCCGGGCUCAACCUGGGAACUGCAUUUGUGACUGCAUGGCUAGAGUACGGUAGAGGGGGAUGGAAUUCCGCGUGUAGCAGUGAAAUGCGUAGAUAUGCGGAGGAACACCGAUGGCGAAGGCAAUCCCCUGGACCUGUACUGACGCUCAUGCACGAAAGCGUGGGGAGCAAACAGG
rnacentral:rRNA from 1 species